UGCUUCAUUGAAUUGUCAAAUUACAAUCCAAAUGCAAACGUGUUUGAGGCGACUGAAUUAUUAGUUGAUUCCGUUGCUUGGUCAAGAUUUUAUUACGGAGUAAUAGAAAUGAUUUUGGUCAGAAGUUGCUUUGCUUCACGGUAAUGAAGAGAUAUAAGGAAACGGAGGAGGAGCUCAAGGGAACUAAAGGCAGAAGAAUAAGGAAGUAAGGAGUGAGGGUAGAUGACAGCCUCCAAGGCAAUAACUAGGUAAGGCAUCAACGUGAAUUUGUAGCACCACAGCCUCCAAGGCAAUAACUAGGUACCACAGCCUGACUGAACUCUUAGCAGUUUGGAUGAUGCACAUAGGGAGUAAUUAUCUCGGCGGUAUACUUAAAAAACUUUCAGACUCAAAACGCAAAGCAGCAAUGGUAUUCCCAGUUCCCCUAAUAUUCAUUUAUUUUCUGGUUUUGAGGUCUAUACAAGAUCACCUUGCAGUCUCAAAUGCACAGGAUGGCUGCACUUAAUUUCUUCAUGUUGACUGCCAGCAAGGUGUUAUAUGAAAUCUCAUGAUGAUACUCAUGUGAAUAAGAAGGCAGUUCCUCUUUUGCCAUUUCUGCUUUACCAUGGAGGUUGUCCGCUAGGACUGAGAAGGGGAUGCUUGCUUGAACUCCUUUUGGAGGCGUUGAUGGGAAGCAUAUAAACCACAAGGUGGAGCAGGAGCUUCUCGCCUUCUCCGCGU